rnacentral:rRNA from 2 species
UUUAUUGGAGAGUUUGAUCCUGGCUCAGGACGAACGCUGGCGGCGUGCCUAAUACAUGCAAGUCGAGCGAAUCAACGGGAGCUUGCUCCCUGAGAUUAGCGGCGGACGGGUGAGUAACACGUGGGUAACCUGCCUGUAAGAUUGGGAUAACUCCGGGAAACCGGAGCUAAUACCGGAUAACAUUUUGAACCGCAUGGUUCAAAAUUGAAAGAUGGCUUUUGCUAUCACUUACAGAUGGACCCGCGGCGCAUUAGCUAGUUGGUGAGGUAACGGCUCACCAAGGCAACGAUGCGUAGCCGACCUGAGAGGGUGAUCGGCCACACUGGGACUGAGACACGGCCCAGACU